UGUAUUGGAUAAUGACAACCCGGAAGUGCCGUGUUGAUUUUCCUUCCCUCCCUCCCUGUCAAUAGGGUUGCCAUUGGAAGGCAUCCUUACUGCCACAUGUGAGCAUGGCACAGGAAAUCACACCACUGCCAUAGCCCUGCAGAGUGGCAGUGAAAGGAUUGCUGCUGUGUUUGGACUGGCCACAGAGCCUCCAAAAUCCCAGCUAUCUGUGAGCUUAGAGCACAACAUCUCAAAGAUAAAGAAACAUGGGAUUCCUUUUUUUGUAGAAGCUGCUGCCUAUUAUGAGAAUUUCUCCAGAAAGAUUGCUGCAGGGAUAACAACCACUGUGGAGACAGAGCAGCUCAAAAUUGAAAUAGAGAAGAAAACCACUGGCAUUGCUAUGGAAAUUUCUCUUUCAUUUCACCAUGAUGUGAGAGGACUGAUGGACAUUGUUCCACGUGUACUGGAGGUUUGCAGAAAUCCUGCCGAAUGUCGUAAUAUAUUUAGUGCACUAAACACUGAACUGUUUAUCUUUUUGAAACUGAACUUUAACCUUUAAUCUUAAAUCUGUGUUUUGGAACCUUCAUCCAUUUGAUCCUUAAAGCAGCCCUGUAACUUGCUCCUUUGAAUUUUAGUCCUACCUGCUUUUCUUCGUGCUCUGAAUGUGCUUUGUUGACAACGUCAACAGGUUGCUUGCAGUGGAGAAUCUGCUAACAAACAACUUUCUGGCCUUUGCAAUGGUGCAAUUGCAUUUCAUCAUUUUGAGACUCCAGCAAGAGUUUCACUGAAUGGGUCAAUAUUUACCAGCAACUUUACUGUCAUCUUCUUUGGACAUGUUUCUUUUCAUGACCUGUUUGCCUGCCUGCAACUCUGUGCCACCACUAACACCCAGCCUCAUUUAGAAAUCGACUUCCAGCAUUCUUUGCCUUCACUUCAUUCUUUGGGAAUUGCCAGAGAGAACCAACUGAAGAUGUCAGCCAUGAUAAGUGACAAGUACAAGGGCAUCCUUGGUAUUGUCCUUGGGCCUUGCACUUUGGAAGUUGAUGGAGAAGUGAGCCUGGCAAGCAAUGAGACAGGAUGGAUACUUGCUCUUAGAAACAAGUGCAUCAGUCUAGAGAGGAUGGGAUUGCCUCGUGCUGCAGUCUUGGGGGGCUCAUUUCGACAGAACAUCUGCAACGUGGGCUUGUUAAUGAACCUGCAAUGUGAUGGCAGAGCAGUGGAUGUGCAGAUAGACACCUCCUGCAAGCAUGAAUAUACACUCCAAGGGAUGCUCAAGCAUUCACUUCCCUGGCUCAGCCAGCUUGGGCUGCCUUUUGAAAACUCUGUCUUGUUCUCUGCAGCCACAGACUCCACCACAGAGGGCAUUUUCCUGCUGCAGGCUGGCAGAUGCACACUGACGGCUAGAGGGGAUUUCUCUAUUCAGAAUAAAGCUGACUGGACACUGGAAACAGAAACAGACUGUCAACUUCUGCAGGAUCUCAGUUUCCCAACUCAGUCACGGCUCACAGGAUCCAUUCAGAAAGACAAGUGCCAGGCAGAGCUUCUCUCUGUCCUGGAAACAGAAGGCAAAAGUGCCCAUCUUGAAGUAAGAGCAGAGUGCAAGCCAAGGAUUACUCUGAAAGUUCAAUUCAGGCAUGAUGUCCCCCAGCUGAAGGAAAUCCCAAGGGAAAAUGAGCUGUCCAUCACUGCAUGGAAACACUCAAAAUAUCUUAUUGGAAUUGGGAUGAAAUUGGGAGCCUGUGAGAUUCAAAUGAAUGGGGACUUUGACCCUGAAAAGAACCUUCAGUGGAAAAUACUUAUAGAAAACCAGUGCCAAACAAUUCAGGAUCUUGGAACACCAAUGAAAAUUGAUGGUUCAGGCUACCUUUUAAUGGAUAAAAUGAACCUAGAUUCACAGACAUUGAUCACUGUUGAUAAAAGUAAAUUCCGAGGACUCCUUAUACUAAAAGUCACUAAUGAAAGGCAAGAGUUGGAUGUGGUGCUAACCCAUAACAUUCAAGGAGCGGCUGACAUUGGCAUUCCCAUGAGGGUGUUACUUGAUGUGAUAUCAGAAAAAAACACUGACUUCUAUAAAGGAUUUAUUCAUUUCUGUGUGAACAGCAAGCAAAUUACAGAAGAACUGAAUUUUGUCCAGAAGUUGGAUGUUGUGUCUCUUAACUACAAACUUGCUCAUAACAUAGAGACAUUGAAGACUUUGCAAAUAAAAGACAGGAUUGAGUUUCAGACUAUCUUGAACCUCAAAGUGACCAGGAGCUUUAGUUUGAAAGUACUUUAUGGCACUCACUUAACAACUCUUGAAGGACAAAUCCAGGAGUUUGAAACAAGUACCAACAUAACAGGGAACUUCCAUCACACUUUGCCAUGGCUGCUACAAGCCAGAAUCCCAUCAACUUUACAGGUAGAUGUGGUUUUUCAAGGGAGAACCACUACUCAAGAGAGAUAUGUGCACAUUGCAGCUGGAGAAACAUCAAUAACAUACAUAAUAAACUCCUAUUAUGUUGGCCACCAAGUGGAUAUCUUCUGCCAGAGUGUGCACAGCAGUGAGGUUCUCCAAGCAUCUGGCUACCCUAAGGCAAUCAACUUGAUUCUCAGUUUACAGAAAUCAGAAAACAAAGCCAAGACUAUCUGUGAAAUCCAAUAUGACGAGAAAGAUGUAGCUGUGACUGUGGAUGUUGACACAGACUUUGAACUCUUUGGUAUAUUUGUGUUCAUGGCAGAGGUAAAGCACUCAGUAUCACUUUUCCAUCACCUGGGACUUCCCUUCUUUUUUAAGAUAACAAUUCAAGAAGUCAUGACUGGAAAUGAAACCAAAGGAGCUCUGAGGCUGACCUAUGAACAACACACAAACUUCUCCUUUUCCAUCAGUAGAAAAAAAGACCAGCAAGGUGAAGAGUUGAAUAUAAAAGCACUCCAGACUCAUCCCUUCUUUCUACCGUACUUCCCCUGUGCAGCAGAACUGUCUUCUAAGUUUAAAAUUCUUCCAAGGCAACUUGUAUUUAUGACAAUUUACCAAAAAGGCAACAGAACACGUCUGCUGAGGCACAUUGCCCUGUGGGAUGGCAAAGAGAUAAAGCUAACAGGCACUUACACUGGACUCUUCCCAAAGCUGCCUGGAGGUCAUGGCAUUCAGGUGGAACUUCUCCAUCCUCUCUCCAUCCCUUUUCCAUGGUAUGCCAGGGUCAACUUAUAUGUGAAACAUUCGGCACGCAGUCACCGGGAUGAUCUUACUGUUGCUUGGAAUGAGAAGGACAAGAUAUCAGUGUCGUCUUCUCUGAAGUUUGGAAGACACUGGACAAGCUACAGAGCCACUGCUGUGCACCCAUUUAAUUACACUCUGAAGCAACUGGAGGUGCAUUCUCUGUCAGAAAGAAGGGGCAGAAAGUACAACCAGCAGCUGCAGGUCUCAGGAAAUGCUGGGCAGCCUGCUCACCUCCAGCUGAGCCUGGAGGAUAAAUCCAGGAUGGACAUCACUGCCUGGGGUGGCUGUGUGACACUCACUGCAGGUCAGCUUCAGAGAAUAGUAAGCAUGGAACACCUGCAUGCAUGCGGGUCUCUCGAGCAAAGACCUACAUUAUUUAAUGAAUACCUCGAUCUGAACUGGGAUGACAAAAAAUUCAAACACAAUUUCACAUAUGAGAGAAAUCAACUCUUGUAUCCUGAUAAGUUUCAGUUAGAAGCUGUUCUGGAAAAUAUUUUCCUGACCCCAUGUACCAAACAGAAGAUUCUGAGUAAAAUAGAAACAAACUACUGCUCUUGCCUGGAUUACUAUACAAGCUUUGAGUUCUGUGACCUUCCAAAUGUAAUUGUUUUAUCUGGAAAGCACCAGCUCAACAAAGAUGACAUCAUUUUGCAGUCAGAGGGCAGAUUCCACCUUGCUGGUCACGGGAGAGAUGAGGGGUUGAUUGGAGUAUCCAUAAAGAAUCAGAGCACUGCUGAUGUGAAGAAUUAUUCUUUGGAAAUUGAAUUAAGAGCCUUUGAAGAUAUUUCGCUAGGCCUGACAGGAACUGCUGCUUCCUCAUCUGUCCAGAGCCAAAUCCUGGUGGAGGGGAUUAUUGAUCAGAAAGAGAAAGUAAAAAUAGCUGCUUCAAAAGACAAGGAGUGUUUUCAGUACUACAUGGGCUAUCUGAAAGGGGAUUUGGAAGAAGGAAUGGACGUCAGUGCUUGUUCUGAUGGGCAACAAAUGGCUGUCAUUAACACCUAUCUCAGCAUCAAUGGUGAAAGGCAGGAAAACGUCGGACAAGUGGCUCUAGCAGCCGCUAAUGGAAGCUUGAGUUUUCUAGCGCAUGGAUGUGGAGAUCCAGUUCUUAAGGCUGAGAACAAGCUUAAUGAAAUUGGGAGCCUUUUGAAAGCCAAACUGAUAGAGAAGAUAAAGAAGUUUGAUGGAAACCUGUGGAGAUUCAGGAGAUCAGUGCAGCAUGUUGGUUUCCUGUCUGAAGCAGCUGGCUGGCCUUCAGCGGCCUUGCAAAGGGCAGCAGCAUUCCUGCACAGUGUGGGUAGAGCUGUCACCCAGGCGUGGAAGCAAAGUGGCAUUGGGCACGUUCUGAGAAGAAAGAUCCCGCUUUAUCUGGAGAAAAUUCAAGACAUUGUCCAGCAAAUGCUGAAUGAAUUACAAAAGCCAUUAGCAACUUUGAAGGACGCCUACUACGAUGUAACCUUGAAGCCACUGGAUGAAGUCUGGAAAGAGAAGACAGAAGAGCACAUGAAGAAAAUCCAGGCUUUCUUGCCCAAGAUUUUAAAAGAUGUGUGGCUAAUGGAAUCAAUCCAGGUGGCAUUAAAGGUUGUGAAAGCAAGCUUGGAUAUGGCUACACAGCAGGUGCUCAGGUGGGCAGAGGCCAUGUUUUCCAGAGCUGUGAGCAAGAUUCGGAAGCCCUUGCUGAACCUGUACAGUUUUUCACCCAGGAACUGUUCCGUGGCAGGAAAACUGCCAGUACUGCCUAAAGCAGACCUGUCCCUGCAGCUGGCAAAUGUUACUACUUACCUCAUUGGAGAAAAACUAAUGAGGCCUCUGCAAGACCUCUACAAUCUCAACAUCCUUGCAGAGUACUAUAGAUUCAAACGGAGGAUGAUGGAGAGCCCCUUUGAACAUCAUGCUAUGUUAGUGGGGACCAAGCAUCUUGUGACUUUUGAUGGAAAAAUGUAUGAUUUGGCAUCAAAGUGCAGUGUACUUCUUGCCAAGGAUUUUGUUCACAAUGCUUUCACUGUAAUACUAAAUGAGGAAACUAGGAACUCAAGAUCACUGUAUGUGAAGAUGAACCAGACUGUGAUGAGUAUCUACCCACGACUAAAGAUAUCCAAGAUGUAUAACUUCUCCUUUACGGAAGAGAACUGCCAAGUACUGGAUCAAUCCCUUGAAAAUAGUACCAUGAAUUCAAGGCGAGGAACCAACAAAAUAGAAAUAUCUGAUCACAAAGGAGUUUCUGUUUCUUGUGACUUUCAGUAUGAUCUCUGUACUGUCACUCUGGCUGGGUGGCACCACGGUAUUUCAGCUGGGCUUUUUGGUACCAAUGAUAAUGAAGCUGGAAAUGAAUGGAUGGUGCCUAAUGGUUCCUUCACUGACAAUGUGCAGGAGUUCACACACAGCUGGCAGGUGAACAAGUGCAGUCUUGCACCAAAGAAAGAGAAGCCAUGUCCAAUUACAGAGAAGCAAAACAUCUGUAAAGUGUUUUUUGAAGAACCACAUUCACUUCUUAGGAACUGCUUCAAAGUUGUGGAGCCCGAGCCAUUCUACACCAUGUGUACACAGGACACCUGUGACUCCCCAGCCUUGGGGGCUGCCUGCACCAUAGCAGCAGCUUUUGUUCAUUUGUGCAACCGGAAUUUUGUCCCUGUGGAAAUCCCUCCACAGUGCUUGAGCCAGUUCUGA
rnacentral:lncRNA from 13 species